rnacentral:rRNA from 1 species
UACAGAGGGUGCGAGCGUUAAUCGGAAUUACUGGGCGUAAAGCGUGCGUAGACGGUUAUUUAAGUCGGGUGUGAAAGCCCCGGGCUCAACCUGGGAAUUGCAUUCGAGACUGAAUAGCUAGGGUACGGUAGAGGGAAGCGGAAUUUCCGGUGUAGCGGUGAAAUGCGUAGAUAUCGGAAGGAACAUCAGUGGCGAAAGCGGCUUCCUGGACCAAUACUGACGCUCAUGUGCGAAAGCGUGGGGAGCAAACAGG